rnacentral:snRNA from 1 species
AUUGCUUUUCAGUCUUUUGGCUAAAAUAAAGUGCAGUAUCUGUUAUCAGCUUAAUAACUGAUGCAUUCUCUACCUGAAACAUAUUUAUUUUUAUUUGUGAUUGGAUUUGGGAAUGAAUUGAGGAUAUUUUGUCAAAAUUCAUUUGCAUCCGUAUUUGAGCUUUGAGGCCAGGUCUGCUCCUGUCAGUGAGGACUGGCU